rnacentral:rRNA from 1 species
AGGGCGUAUGGGGAAUGCCUAGGCACACUCCGGCGAAGAAGGACGCAGCAAACAGCGAAAUGCGACGGUGAGCGGUAAGCACGUGAAGAGCCGUCGAUAUCCGAAUGGGGGAACCCACACGGAGUCAUAUCCGUGUAUCACAUGUCGAAUACAUAGACAUGAUGAGGCGAGACGCAGGGAACUGAAACAUCUAAGUACCUGCAGGAAGAGAAAAUAAGAAUGAUUUUCUGAGUAGCGGCGAGCGAAAGGGAAAGAGCCCAAACCGAUUUUAGGAUCGGGGUAGUAGGAUCAUCGAGGAAUCUGACAGAGGAUCAUAGAGGAAUCACAUGGGAAGGUGAGCGAGAGAGGGUGAGAGCCCCGUACUCGAAAUGAGAGACUGGAGAGAGAUGACACCUGAGUAGGGCGGGACACGAGAAAUCCUGUCUGAAUCAGCCGGGACCAUCCGGCAAGGCUAAAUACGAGAGAGUGACCGAUAGUGAACCAGUACCGUGAGGGAAAGGUGAAAAGAACCCCGGGAGGGGAGUGAAAGAGAACCUGAAACCAUAUGCCUACAAGAAGUCAGAGCCCGUUAAAGGGUGAUGGCGUGCCUUUUGUAGAAUGAACCGGCGAGUUACUGUAUGGAGCGAGGUUAAGCAGGAUAUGCGGAGCCGAAGCGAAAGCGAGUCUUAAGAGGGCGCGAGUUGCAUGCAGUAGACCCGAAACCGGGUGAUCUAGCCAUGACCAGGUUGAAGUUGGGGUAAAACCCGAUGGAGGACCGAACCGACCCCCGUUGAAACGUUGGCGGAUGAGUUGUGGCUAGGGGUGAAAUUCCAAUCGAACCCGGAGAUAGCUGGUUCUCCCCGAAAUAGCUUUAGGGCUAGCGUCGAGAGAAGAGUUGCGUGAAGGUAGAGCACUGAAUAUGUGAUGGCCCCAUCUCGGGGUACUGAGCAUAAUCAAACUGCGAAUGUCACGCCAACAUGCUCGGCAGUCAGACAGCGGGUGAUAAGGUCCGUUGUCAAGAGGGAAACAGCCCAGACCAUCAGCUAAGGUCCCAAAAUGUAUGCUAAGUGGAAAAGGAUGUGGAGAUGUACAGACAACUAGGAGGUUGGCUCAGAAGCAGCCAUCCUUUAAAGAGUGCGUAACAGCUCACUAGUCGAAUGACUCUGCGCCGAUAAUUUACCGGGGCUAAGCAUACUACCGAAGCUAUGGAUCCCAAGGGAUGGUAGGGGAGCGUUCCAUGAACGGAGAAGUACGACCGAAAGGACGUGUGGAGAUCAUGGAAGAGAGAAUGCCGGUGUGAGUAGCGGAACGUGGGUGAGAAUCCCACGCACCGAAAACCCAAGGUUUCCAGAGGAAGGUUCGUCCGCUCUGGGUAAGUCGGGACCUAAGGCGAGGCCGAAAGGCGUAGUCGAUGGACAACAGGUAGAGAUUCCUGUACCCGUAUAUAUGUGAAGGAAUGACGGAGAGAGGAAGCUGCAGCCAGCGGCUGGAAGAGCUGGUGCAAGCGAGAUAUCGGGAUGGCAGGCAAAUCCACCAUCCGAAACGAGAAGGCGUGAAGCGUACGGAAAGCUACGGCGAGUACGGAAGGCAGUGGAGGAACUUCCAAGAAAAGUUUCUAACGUUAAGUAUAUAUGGCCCGUACCGAAAAUGGACACACAUGGGUGAGGAGAGAAUCCUAAGGUGAGCGAGAGAACUAUAGCUAAGGAACUCUGCAAAAUGACUCCGUAACUUAGGGAGAAGGAGUGCUCAUAGAGAUAUGAGCCGCAGUGAAACGGCCCAAGCGACUGUUUACCAAAAACACAGCUCUCUGCUAAGCCGCAAGGCGAAGUAUAGGGGGUGACGCCUGCCCGGUGCUGGAAGGUUAAGGGGAGGGGUUAACGCAAGUGAAGCCCUGAACUGAAGCCCCAGUAAACGGCGGCCGUAACUAUAACGGUCCUAAGGUAGCGAAAUUCCUUGUCAGGUAAGUUCUGACCCGCACGAAAGGCGUAACGAUUUGGGCGCUGUCUCAGCUGUAGACUCGGUGAAGUCUUAGUACCUGUGAAGAUGCAGGUUACCCGCGACUAGACGGAAAGACCCCAUGGAGCUUCACUGCAGGUUGAUAUUGGGAUUUGAUGCAGCAUGUACAGGAUAGGUAGGAGGCAAAGAGAUGGAUACGCCAGUAUUCAAGGAGCCGCUGUUGGGAUACUACCCCUGUUGUAUUGGAUUUCUAACCGGACGACGUAGAGCCGUUGACGGGACAGUGUCAGUCGGGCAGUUUGACUGGGGCGGUCGCCUCCCAAAGAGUAACGGA